AAUAUUGGACAAUGGGCGAAAGCCUGAUCCAGCCAUGCCGCGUGUGUGAAGAAGGUCUUCGGAUUGUAAAGCACUUUAAGUUGGGAGGAAGGGCAGUAAGUUCAUACCUUGCUGUUUUGACGUUACCGCCAGAAUAGGCACAGGCGAACUUCGUGCCUGCAGACGCGGUAAUACGAAGGGUGCAAGCGUUAAUCGGAAUUACUGGGCGUAAAGCGUGCGUAGGUGGUUCAUUAAGUUUGAAGUGGAAGCCCCGGGCUUAACCUGGGAAUUGCUUUCAAAACUGACGAGCUAGAGUACGGUAGAGGGUAGUGGAAUUUCCUGUGUAGCGGUGAAAUGCGUAGAUAUAGGAAGGAACAUCAGUGGCGAAGGCGACUACCUGGACUGAUACUGACACUGAGGUGCGAAAGCGUGGGGAGCAAACAGG
rnacentral:rRNA from 1 species